GCCUUCGUUGUGUAAUGGUCAGCACGCUCGACGCGUAUUCCAGAGGUCCGUGGUUCGAAUCUCGGCGAGGGCA
rnacentral:tRNA from 1 species